AUACAAAUCGACAAACAUGCACAAACACGCUCCCUCAAAUGGACAUGCACAAAAACGUACAUGUAAAAAAACAUGCGCAAAAGUGCAUCCGCAACAACAUUCUU